UUUCUUGGUCAUUUAGAGGAAGUAAAAGUCGUAACAAGGUCUCCGUUGGUGAACCAGCGGAGGGAUCAUUACCGAGUUUACAACUCCCAAACCCCUGUGAACAUACCUUAAUGUUGCCUCGGCGGAUCAGCCCGCGCCCCGUAAAACGGGACGGCCCGCCAGAGGACCCAAACUCUAAUGUUUCUUAUUGUAACUUCUGAGUAAAACAAACAAAUAAAUCAAAACUUUCAACAACGGAUCUCUUGGUUCUGGCAUCGAUGAAGAACGCAGCAAAAUGCGAUAAGUAAUGUGAAUUGCAGAAUUCAGUGAAUCAUCGAAUCUUUGAACGCACAUUGCGCCCGCUGGUAUUCCGGCGGGCAUGCCUGUUCGAGCGUCAUUUCAACCCUCAAGCCCCCGGGUUUGGUGUUGGGGAUCGGCUCUGCCCUUCUGGGCGGUGCCGCCCCCGAAAUACAUUGACGGUCUCGCUGCAGCCUCCAUUGCGUAGUAGCUAACACCUCGCAACUGGAACGCGGCGCGGCCAUGCCGUAAAACCCCAACUUCAUGAAUGUUGACCUCGGAUCAGGUA
rnacentral:rRNA from 1 species